CGGUGGCUAUAGCGAAGAGGUCACACCCGUUCCCAUCCCGAACACGGAAGUUAAGCUCUUCAGCGCCGAUGGUACUGCGUGGGAAGCUACGUGGGAGAGUAGGUCGCCGCCGAAUC
rnacentral:rRNA from 1 species